UGGGCCUGUUCAGAGAAUGUGCAUUGCCUGACAGAGUAAAGAGAAAAACAGAUCUUCACAGAAUCUGAUACUUUCCCCGUCAUCUCUCCGCUUUCUGAAGCCACAGUUCAAAAUGGAGCGAGUAUAUUCCAUUGUCCAUGUGGCUUUUUGGGCAGUGUGUGAGGACAAAUCUGAAGAUAAAGGACAAAACUGAAGAUAAUGAAGAGGAUCUGGAAGAAUUGUUCAAUUUAAUGCUUCAGGGCCUCCUCUACAAGGCCGUGACUGUCAGGACCAUUUUACAAAAAAAAAAGUGUCUGGAAAAGCCCGAUGGCUAGGGCACACAACUGCAAAGCAGUCUUUAAAUCCUGGGUUCAGUUCUUUACAAAAAUAAAUAAAUACAUCUCUUCAAAAAUAAAUAAAUACAUCUCCAUACAUAAAUAAAUAACUAUAUCUCAAAUAACAGAAGUGGAAACAAACAGAAAAACUCCUUGGAAUCCUUGGGAGAGCUGCUGUCAAUCGGUAUAGACUGUACUGGGGUAGAUGGUCAGUUUCAUGUGCUUUAAUAUUCACCACAAGCUCUUCUGCAUGGGUGUUCAGUACUUGUGUGACAAUAAGCAGGGUGCUUGUGUAUGCAGGCCUUGAGUGUCACCCUGUUAUCUCCUCUUCUCUGCUGUGGUCAUUUUGUUUCCUGGAAUAUACUUCACUUACUCCCUAAGAUUUAAGGACAUUUUUUGAAAAACCUCUGUAUCUGCAACUUUAUUAUACACACACACACAAA